UUGAUCAUGGCUCAGAACGAACGCUGGCGGCAUGCCUAACACAUGCAAGUCGAACGAGACCUUCGGGUCUAGUGGCGCACGGGUGCGUAACGCGUGGGAACCUGCCUUUAGGUUCGGAAUAACAGUGAGAAAUUACUGCUAAUACCGGAUAAUGUCUUCGGACCAAAGAUUUAUCGCCUUUAGAUGGGCCCGCGUUGGAUUAGCUAGUUGGUGGGGUAAAGGCCUACCAAGGCGACGAUCCAUAGCUGGUCUGAGAGGAUGAUCAGCCACACUGGGACUGAGACACGGCCCAGACUCCUACGGGAGGCAGCAGUGGGGAAUAUUGGACAAUGGGCGAAAGCCUGAUCCAGCAAUGCCGCGUGAGUGAUGAAGGCCUUAGGGUUGUAAAGCUCUUUUACCCGAGAUGAUAAUGACAGUAUCGGGAGAAUAAGCUCCGGCUAACUCCG
rnacentral:rRNA from 1 species